GCCCCCCCCCCCCACACACACACACACACACAAACAAAGAGGCGUUAGGCUGAGUCGCUGAAAGUCCGGAUUUGAAGUGCAGAAAAUUAAGCCAUUGAAUCUGCCUGUCCAUGACGUAGUAAGACACACUAUGAGCCAGUAUGAUCCGACCAGACCUUACAUCAGCAUUGAGGAGUUGUCGGAGAAGAAAGAGGCUGAUUGAAGCGGGACAGAUGACAUGGAUCCAUCCUUCCACAGCCAGGAGCGCACCGACCUGUGUCCCACACUUCAUAUAAGACUGGAAGCUACACUGAUCUCACAGCUACACACCACAGACGUCUACACACUGGAGAAGAUUCAGACAGAGUCCCACAAAGAAGUCAUGACCCAGAGGCUGCAGAGAAACAUUUCAAGCCUCAUCUUAGUUUUUGUACAAUAUUUUUGCUGUAUGUAAAUAAAGCUUUCACUCCACA